rnacentral:rRNA from 1 species
GAUGAACGCUAGCGGCAGGCCUAACACAUGCAAGUCGAGGGGCAGCACAGAAACAGCAAUGUUUUGGUGGCGACCGGCGGACGGGUGCGUAACGCGUAUGCAACCUACCUUUAACAGGGGGAUAACGGAGAGAAAUUUCCACUAAUACCCCAUAACAUCGAUCAAGGCAUCUUGAUUGGUUGAAAACUCCGGUGGUUAAAGAUGGGCAUGCGUUGUAUUAGGUAGUUGGUGAGGUAAUGGCUCACCAAGCCUACGAUACAUAGGGGGACUGAGAGGUUAGCCCCCCACACUGGUACUGAGACACGGACCAGACUCCUACGGGAGGCAGCAGUGAGGAAUAUUGGUCAAUGGGGGCAACCCUGAACCAGCCAUGCCGCGUGCAGGAAGACGGCUCUAUGAGUUGUAAACUGCUUUUAAACAGGGAUAAAGCACAGUAUGUAUACUGUGUUGAAGGUACCUUGGGAAUAAGGAUCGGCUAACUCCGUGCCAGCCGCCGCCGUAA